UUAUAGCCCUGAUCGGAGCGGGCAUCCUGAUUUUCCAUCAGGAUAAAGCGGAGAGCAGGACUAAAU
rnacentral:sRNA from 1 species